AUCUUUUUGUAGUUCAUAGCAUGAUGGUUGGAUGUUCACACACAUGCAUGAGAUGUGCCUUCCCCAAACCUUGUUACAAAGUCAGUACAUUACCCUUCUGACU